GUCUACAGCAAUACCACCCUGAACACAACACAUCUUGUCUGAUCUUGGAAGCUUGACAGGGUCGGACCUGGUUAAUACCUGGAUUAGAGGAGUAGCUCCCAGAGUUGCUUUGUGUGUAGUGACUUAGCAGUUGGACA
ensembl:rRNA 5S_rRNA 5S ribosomal RNA